CCCUUAGAUGUUCUGGGCUGCACGCGCGCUACACUGAUACCUUCAGCGAGUCCACCACCUUGCCUGGGAGGGUGGGGUAACCUCUGGAAAGUGCAUCGUGAUGGGGAUCGAUUAUUGUAAUUAUUAAUCUUCAACGAGGAAUUCCUAGUAAGCAUGUGUCAUCAGCCCGUGCUGAUUACGUCCCUGCCCUUUGUACACACCGCCCGUCGCUACUACCGAUUGAACGGUUUAGUGAGGGCCUCGGAUUGGUCUCGGCCCGCUCUUUACCGGGCGGCGCCGUUGGUCGAGAAGACGCUCGAACUUGAUCGUUUAGAGGAAGUAAAAGUCGUAACA
rnacentral:rRNA from 1 species